AGUAAUGUGAAUAUUUACAUCAGCUGACAUCAAAUCAACUGACUACAUUUACAGUUUAGGUUAAUGUUAGAAUAACCAAAACAUAUAUUCACAUUUACGUUUGAUAACUUGCAUGUAAGUAGUUACUAAGCAUUUAUAUCUUCUAAAGCUAGGCUAUAGCGAAAAGAGUUUGCUAAAGCCAGCUAGCUUACUCAAUCCUAAACAAAGUAACGUUAUUUCAAGUGUUGUCGGGAUGUGUGUGUUUUAACGCGUGACUAUGGACAAGCUAGCCAUAGAUGUUGGUGAUAUUCAGUCCAGGCUAAUAGAACAUAGGCCUGUCAUACAAGGGGAGAUCUGCUAUUUUAUGAAUUUGAGGAAAAACUUGGAUUGAGAAACAGAUGUUUCCUGGACAACCUGAACAAAAUGGUGGUGGAGACCAAUGAGCAGUCGUUUCCCAAAUGUUCAGAGCACAUGCAUAAGCACCUCUGUGAGGCCCUCACACGAUAUAUAAGCCCCUUCCUGACCUAGCCAGUGUAUUUUUCAAUUGCUAACCAUUGCAGUUGUAAUAUGGACUGAUUGAAUGCUAUUGUAAUGUUUUCCAAAUGACUUGACUUCGUUGUAUUAUUUCAAUGUGCCUUACUGAUAAAGCUGGAAAGUAGUUGAAUGUAACAUUGUUGCUUGUGUUUUUCUACAGUGGAGGAUGGGAAUCACACGUCACAGAGGAUCCAGGAGAGGGAGCUAUAGGCAGACCAAGUAAAGACACAGGCUCUCUUCAAAGCCCAUGAAUUACCAAUAGUGAUUUAACCAUUCACAGGCAUGGAUUGUGACAACAGACCAGGGCCCAGUUUCUCGUUGUCGAUGGAACUUAGGCUUAUGAGUAUAUGAACAAUGAAUCGUACAACAACCGAGGAAGUCGCUUAUGCUUCCCAAAACACUAAGCAGGGAGAACUUUCACUAAGUCUGUCGUUGGAGCAGGUGUCAUUAUGAUGGAAAGGAAGGCAGCGCUGCUCACGGAUCAGCUUGGUCCAUUCAAAUCUUCCACAAUACUGACGAAGGAUCACCUAUAGGCUAUGGCUGCAAAUAUUAAGGUGGCUCAUUAACCUAAUGCUUAUGCCCAGCCUACACAUCAUUGCUCACAUGUUGUUACACAUCAUGAAAUAUAUUUAGGAAAUAAUUACCAACAGUAGCCUACAAUUAGUCAAAUAGAACUCAAUUGAUUGAACAAGAAAUAGAUUUCAGUAUGAUUGAAAUGUGUAGGCUUAUGUAGUCUAUAUUGUAUUUACCUUUUAUUACAAUCAUCUGGGUUUUCAUUUUAAGCAUUUUUUUAAUCCUUUGCUUGUCUGUAACAUACAAAGACUUUGGUAACUUUGUAGUCAACUUUGUUCUGAAUUUAUAGGUGUUUACAGAGAGACAGAUAAACAUCUUGAGUCUGUGUUUAGCAGAGAUCUAUGUAUAAAGAUAUGUGGUAGGACAAAAAAGCACCUAAAGUUGCACUUAGCUCUCCACUAAGAGUGGUCUGAGGCAGUUAGUAAAUAAAGAUUGUUUUCAAGUGCAACUUUAGUUCUAAUGGUUUUGGGAAACAACUCGGGGAUUUACCAAUGCUCCUACAAAGGUUCUAACGAUGAACUUGGUUUUAAGAUGCUUUUGGGAAAUCGGGCCCAGGGGCGGGUCAUUUGGCACUAAACAGGAAAUAGCUGUUUGAAACUGAGUACCACCCAAAUCUCCCCAACAAGAGUGUUUUCAUUUCCAAUUUCAUUUUUGUCUAGUUCAGAUUUUUUUUGUCUUUGAGCCUGACCCAGAUCCUUGCAUGUUGUGCACCUUAGAGCACCCAGUUGCAGGUGACCAUAGACAGACAGAAGGAGGACUGGGAGGAGGUGGACGAAGAGCAUACCAAGGACAUCGGACGCCUCAGCAUCAUGUACUGCGACAUGAAGAAGGAUCUGGCCAAAUUCUCUCACUUCUGAUCCUCGGUGUGUCUGUCUGUCGGUCUGCUUGAAAUUAAGUUGUUGAAUUUGAUUGAUGCGGUACUUAGUCGUUGGCACUAACAGAGGACUUCUGAGGACAAAAGUCAACCGUUUCCAGAUCACAAAUGACAGUGUGAUUAACAACGUGGCAUUUUCACAGCCCUUCAAAAUCACAAUUUUCUGGCCUAAGCACAUGGAAUAUGUAUGUCAAGUUCUGGAAAAAUGUCAUUUUUAAACCAUAAAUUACAUGAUUGUU